rnacentral:rRNA from 1 species
GGGGAAUAUUGCACAAUGGGCGCAAGCCUGAUGCAGCGACGCCGCGUGGGGGAUGAAGGCCUUCGGGUUGUAAACUCCUUUCGCUAGGGACGAAGCUUUUUGGUGACGGUACCUAGAUAAGAAGCGCCGGCUAACUACGUGCCAGCAGCCGCGGUAAUACGUAGGGUGCGAGCGUUGUCCGGAAUUACUGGGCGUAAAGGGCUCGUAGGUGGUUUGUCGCGUCGUCUGUGAAAUUCUGGGGCUUAACUCCGGGCGUGCAGGCGAUACGGGCAUAACUUGAGUGCUGUAGGGGUAACUGGAAUUCCUGGUGUAGCGGUGAAAUGCGCAGAUAUCAGGAGGAACACCGAUGGCGAAGGCAGGUUACUGGGCAGUUACUGACGCUGAGGAGCGAAAGCAUGGGUAGCGAACAGGAUUAGAUACCCUGGUAGUCCAUGCCGUAAACGGUGGGCGCUAGGUGUGAGGGUCUUUCUACGACUUUCGUGCCGUAGCUAACGCAUUAAGCGCCCCGCCUGGGGAGUACGGCCGCAAGGCUA